CAAGCUCACAGGUCGCUUAAUUUCUUCUUCUUAGGUGUCAUUUUCUUCUUCUUUCCUUUUGCUGGAGGUUUUGGUGGUGGGGUAGCAGCUUGGCUCCUUGUGACAGGUCCAGGACUAGCUUGAGCUGCAGCUUGGCUUCUUGUGACAGCUCCAGGACUGCUACAAGUGGCAUCAUUCUUGCUCUUGGUUGGUGUAGAUGGAACGGCAUUGCUAACGGAAACAUCAAACCAUGGAGAUGGAUUCUUUUCCCCCCUACUUUUUCUACAAAAAGAAGCAAUUAGAACUAUUUUAAUGUAAAACAACCAUGGUAUUAUAAAUAGAAAACAGCAACAAGUACUACUAUGUACCUUUUCUUUGUUCCAUUUUGAGGACAACCAGCUUCUCUAUGUCCUAUCUCCCCACAUUUUUUGCAUUUGUUCAAGGAUCCUUUACUUGAUCCACCUUCCCACCAACUCUUUAUCCUCUGUUUUCUUGUUCUUCCAGCACCUUUCUUCUUGCCUAUUGGAAUUGGUGGACGCAACACAAAGCCUGUGUCCACGUGUGGCCAUUGAUUCUUGUCCGUAAGGGGUUCAAUUACACCUUCAUAUGCUGCCCUAAAUCUGCUAACUGAGUAGUACUCAUGUACAUAGUCCUCCAUGUUAACAAAGUUGCGAGCUUGCAAGACAUUUAUGAAGGCUAGUGCAUGGUCGCAAGGCUUGCCCGUGUGCUGCCAUUGCAGACAUGUACAUUCAUGUGUGAGAGUUUUGACCACAUGUCUUUCAUCCUCUUUGUUAGCAUUUUUCACUUCCCCACUCCAAUCAGCUGAUGCUUUAGCCUUGAGAUGACCUAGUCCUCGAGUCUUUGCAUUUAGUUGGUGUAUGACAAAUGGAAGUAUUAUCCCUGUAAAUCUUUCUCCAAUCAUUCUUCUUUUUCUAAAUAGUUCCAUAAUCAUCUCUCUAAUCUUGUCAGCUAGCUGAACAAUCGGCAAGUCCUUGAUAUCUCGCACCCAAGAGUUGAAGCACUCGGCGAGAUUGUUAUUUAUGUAGUCACACUUGAUGGCAGGGUUGAACAUGCACCUCAUCCAUAACAGAUUAUGGUAAUCCCUAAGGUGUGUACACUGUACAGUCAUACGAACCAUGGGCAGAGUCGAGAGCAAUCUUGAGACGUCGAUGCCAACUGAGGGGCGUAGCGACAGACACCUCUCCUGUGACAGAGCAUCCAAAAACAUGGCUUAUAAAAAGAUCUGCAGAAUAGUAAUAUUCUGACAAGAAAAGGACCAGAUGAAGAAUAACUGCAGUUCAGGCCAUUCCAGGCAAAUGCUUUCGGCGCACAAGGAUCACCCAUCCAGUUUUUCUUCAGCAUGUACGUCGUGCGAAUUCCCAUCAUGGCCUUGGCUGUUAAUAUGGAAAAACGGAGGUGUUUCUGAGGUUCUGCUUUACGCUAUCCAGAAACAAAUAAUUCAAAGCUACUGGACUUGCAAAUUUCAGUCCAAACUAGGAUCCUUGACAGUGGAACACAUGGAUCAAAGUGCAAGGUACCGUCUCCAUUGUUCGUCGCAAGCUCAGUCAUCUGCCGCAGUGAGUAUAUCUCGAACGCGUUCAGGAUGGGCGGGAGUGUGGCAUCUGGCGUGGCGACAAGCGAGACGGUGUGCUGGCCUGACCCCUGCACCACCACCUGUUCCACAACCUCUGCGGAGAGGUACUUCGGGGUGUAACUCCGGCUGCCGUUCCACGAGGCGCCGUCAACGAGGAUGUCGAACCGCCUCAGCGUGUUGCCCGGCAGCUGCUGUAGCUCCGUGAAGUAGAGCAGCAGGAGGUAGGCUGCGCUGCUGCUGUCAUUGUUCUGGGAGGUGUCCGGGCUCCAUGAGAAGUCGAGCCGGGUUCCGUUCACCGGAGUGGCGGCGCUCCGCAGCACCACAGGCGGCGCGUCGAAGCUGCUGGCCUUGGAGACAUCGACGUCGGCCGCCGUCGUUAUGUUGGUCCACGCAGCGACGUCGCCGUAAGACUGCCAGAUGCGGUCAUAGGAGUCAAAUGGGUACCUGUUAUUGUUGGCAAGAAGCGGAAUCCGGUGUGAGAAAAUCGGCAGAAAUUGCAACUCGUGUGCCUGAAACUCCAGGCUCUGGUUUGGCCAAUAGAUUUUGCAGAAUUGACUCUUGAUCGACCUAAAAUGAUGCAUUUGGUUUGGUGGUAGAGAAGGCCAGGUGUCAGUCAUGCUACUUGGCAGUUCAUUCAGGAAUUGAAGUGCAACAACAAUUUAUAUAGUGAUAUAAUCUUUUUUUUAUUAGAUCAAGCUGUGGGGUCAAUGGCCAGCUGUCAGUUUGACCGCAUUUCAAGGGGAACUACAUGUUAGUCUCUCUGGGACUAGGGAGUUGUGAUAAUAAACCAUGUGUUCUAGAAAGGUAACAUAAAGAGCAGCAUCAACUAUAAAAGGUAGUACAAUCAAACGGAGGAGAAAACUCAAGCUCAGGGUUUUAUGUUAUUCCGUGUGCAUACGCGGUGUCAUUUUGGAGCAGAGUAAGUGCAUAGCGGUUUUCUUACAACUCUGCAAAGCCUAUUUUAAAAUGUUCAUCCAAAUGGAAACUUGUGCAAGAAACCAAGGAAUGCUGCUGCCCUACGUGAUGUGUGCAAAUGGUCAAGAUAACCCAUUUUGACCUUCACAUCAAGUAAUCGGCAGGCAAC